rnacentral:ribozyme from 1 species
UGUCCAGUAACUCCUAUCCCUACCUCCCCGUGGUGCCGCCUGGGGUACGAGGGAAGAUCGGGUAACCAACCCUGGUGGAACCUUGGUCGUAUGCUGACAGGGAAGG